rnacentral:rRNA from 1 species
UGUGGCGCACGGGUGAGUAACACGUAGCCAACUACCCUCGAGUGGGGGAUAACUGGGGAAACUCGGGCUAAUACCGCAUACCUCCGACACAAGCAAAGGCCCGCUGGAGGAGGGGGCUGCGGCCGAUUAGCUAGUUGGUGAGGUAAUGGCUCACCAAGGCGAUGAUCGGUAGCCGGCCUGAGAGGGCGCGCGGCCACACUGGCACUGAAAUACGGGCCAGACUCCUACGGGAGGCAGCAGUGGGGAAUUUUGCACAAUGCCCGAAAGGGUGAUGCAGCAACGCCGCGUGAGGGAUGAAGGCCUUCGGGUCGUAAACCUCUUUCGACCGGGAAAAAUGAUGGUACCGGUGGAAGAAGCCCCGGCCAACUACGUGCCAGCAGCCGCGGUAAUACGUAGGGGGCGAGCGUUGUUCGGAAUUACUGGGCGUAAAGGGCGUGUAGGCGGUGCGAUAAGUCGGGCGUGAAAUCCCCGGGCUUAACCCGGGGCGGUCGCUCGAAAC